rnacentral:rRNA from 1 species
UACGGAGGAUGCGAGCGUUAUCCGGAUUUAUUGGGUUUAACGGGUGCGUAGGCGGUCCGUUAAGUCAGCGGUAAAAUUGCGGGGCUCAACCCCGCCGAGCCGUCGGAACCGGGGGCCUUGAGUACCGGAGAAGUACGCGGAAUGCGUGGUGUAGCGGUGAAAUGCAUAGAUAUCACGCAGAACCCCGAUUGCGAAGGCAGCAUACCGGUGCACAACUGACGCUCAGGCACGAAAGCGUGGGUAUCGAACAGG